rnacentral:misc_RNA from 1 species
AUUUUUUUAUUAAUUUUUAGUU